rnacentral:rRNA from 1 species
CGUCUAUAUACGUAUAGCAUAUCAAUAAGCGGAGGAAAAGAAACUAACUAGGAUUCCCUUAGUAACGGCGAGUGAAGCGGGAAGAGCUCAAAUUUGAAAUCUUCAAGGUUCUACCUUGACGAAUUGUAGUUUAAAGAAGUGUUUUCUGUUGGAGUUUUGGUAAAAGUUCUUUGGAAUAGGACAUCAUAGAGGGUGAGAAUCCCGUAUUUGACCAUUACUUCCAGCUGUGUGAUACACUUUCAAAGAGUCGGAUUGUUUGGGAAUGCAGUCCAAAAUGGGUGGUAAAUUUCAUCUAAAGCUAAAUAUUGGCGAGAGACCGAUAGCGAACAAGUACCGUGAGGGAAAGAUGAAAAGAACUUUGAAAAGAGAGUUAAACAGUACGUGAAAUUGUCAAAAGGGAAGCGUUUGACACCAGUGUUGUUUUCUCGAAAAUCAAUUAAAAAAGAUUGGAUUUUGUGUUGUAUUGACUUUAUCAGCUUUCUGCACUCUUUUUCCUGUCUUUUUUAAUGCACUUUUCGUUUAACAAGUCAACAUCAAUUUCUUUUGUUGUAAAAGGGUCAUUGGAAGGUGGCUUUCUUUUCGGAGAAAGUGUUUAUAGCCUUUGACUUCUGCAAUCGGAGAGAUUGAGGUCUGCAGCGUAGAUCCUUCGGGGUUAGAUACAUUUGUGCUAAGUUAUAGCCUUUCAUAGACAACUUGUUGACUAUGAUCAGUCAUGUAGCUUACUCGCUUAUGUUAUUUUACCUACGCUUAGGAUGUUGACGAUCAGCUGAGCGCG